rnacentral:rRNA from 1 species
AUUGAACGCUGGCGGCAGGCCUAACACAUGCAAGUCGAACGGCAGCACAGAAGAGCUUGCUCUUUAGGUGGCGAGUGGCGGACGGGUGAGUAAUGUCUGGGAAACUGCCCGAUGGAGGGGGAUAACUACUGGAAACGGUAGCUAAUACCGCAUAACGUCGCAAGACCAAAGUGGGGGACCUUCGGGCCUCACACCAUCGGAUGUGCCCAGAUGGGAUUAGCUAGUAGGUGGGGUAAUGGCUCACCUAGGCGAAGAUCCCUAGCUGGUCUGAGAGGAUGACCAGCCACACUGGAACUGAGACACGGUCCAGACUCCUACGGGAGGCAGCGGUGGGGAAUAUUGCACAAUGGGCGCAAGCCUGAUGCAGCCAUGCCGCGUGUAUGAAGAAGGCCUUCGGGUUGUAAAGUACUUUCAGCGGGGAGGAAGGCGGUGAGGUUAAUAACCUUGCCGAUUGACGUUACCCGCAGAAGAAGCACCGGCUAACUCCGUGCCAGCAGCAGCCGCAG